rnacentral:rRNA from 1 species
CAGUAGCCGCGGUAAUACGUAGGUGGCAAGCGUUGUCCGGAUUUAUUGGGCGUAAAGCGAGCGCAGGCGGUUUCUUAAGUCUGAUGUGAAAGCCCCCGGCUCAACCGGGGAGGGUCAUUGGAAACUGGGAAACUUGAGUGCAGAAGAGGAGAGUGGAAUUCCAUGUGUAGCGGUGAAAUGCGUAGAUAUAUGGAGGAACACCAGUGGCGAAGGCGGCUCUCUGGUCUGUAACUGACGCUGAGGCUCGAAAGCGUGGGGAGCAAACAGGAUUAGAUACCCCUGUAGUCCCUGUCUCUUAUAC